GAGAAAACCUUUUGUAGUGAUAAACACCCAUUUUUAAUAAUAUAUAAUAUAAUAUAUAAUAAUAAUAUAAUAUAUAUACCUCUCCUUGAGCACUGCGAGCUCAGUGCUGUCUUGGUAAUCAUGAACUUGCAAACUUGUCUUUGAGAAGUCUCUCUUACCAGUCCGUUUAUACGCUAAUUAAGGACAAUGGGAUUACACUACUCAAUGGGCCAUGUGGCAAGGGAGUGACAUAGGGAACCCGCUCUUUAAAUGAUACUGUUCACCUAAGGUAGCAACGAACAAGGGGGAGAAGGCUGGAGAGCUGCCGAGGAUUCACAGCCAAUGGGGGAUAAACACCUCUGAAAAUCAGGCCACAAGUUGUUUAUUAUUAUUUAGUCACACACCAAGACUCCACUGUGCUAGGCGCUGUACAAACACAGAACAGAAAGGUGGUCCCUGCUCAAAGGGGCUCACUCCUGCAAGAUCCACAGCAAUGUUUCUGUAGGGUCUUCCACGCUGUCCAUGUAUUGGAUUGGAUUUGAAUGACCUAUUUUAAGAACACCCUGCAAAGGGAUGUAUCUAUCUGCAUGAUGGAGAAGUCUAUUGGGAAACAAAUCCACUGUUGUCUGAAGCAAAACUGCCGAAAAGUCUAAAUUGGAAUUUCUAGUGCUAUUGUAUAUUUUGCUUUUCUCCCUCUGUUUCCCCCCAUCCCUUAUAUGAAUAAUACUUGGCACUUUGAAUCUUCAGAGAUAACUGUUUCCUUUGCCCCUGUGAAGUGGGUUAGUUUAUCUGCAUUUUGUUAUAGGAGAGAGCGGCCCAAAGUCAUGCAGCGAGGCAGUGCGCCUGAGAGCCUGUCCAACCACUAGGCAACACGCCCGCACUAAAACAAUGUGAUUUUAAAUCGGUAACAACUCUUGGCACUUCCAGAGCAUGUUACAAUGUUCAGAGUGGUUUAAAGGCUGGAUGUUUAAUUCAGUGUAGUCAUUAAAUGCUGGUUUACUAAUUGCAGCUCCAACACUUAAGGGAUUAAUCCUUGUGCACCUGAGCAGGCCCCUUGAAUUCUGUUCCCGCCUGCAGGGUGAAUGAGUGGCUCAGUUGUCUGUGUUUGUAUCAGUUGUUCACUCCCCUGGAGUUUUGCACCUGCGCCUUUAACACUGGCUCUGCCCGGCCCCCUUUCAGCAGGGAAGGCAGAGCCUGAGCUGGGAGAAUUUGCAGCUGCUUCUGAGGGUCUGUGCUGGGUGGCCAGGAGGGAGGAGGCACAAAGGGCCAGGAGCCAGGCUGUUCCCACCUUGCACAGCAGGGGCUGGGCUGAGAUGGCUGAGGAGCCACGCAGCACCCUAGCUGUCGGCCGAAGGAGCAGGAGAGUGAGGAAGAAAAGAAACUUUUCUCCUGAAGUGGAAAUUGUGGUGAAAGGGAGAAAAGUGAGCAGGGGGGAUUGUGCAGCUGGCCAGGGCAGACAAGAUUCCGGGACUGGGCGCGGAGUCUGCUGCGACCUCUGCAGCUCUCCUUACAUCGUCGACCCCGGCCGCAGAGGCAACCAGCUGAAGACCUCUAGCUCUCUGCCUUCUCCGCGCCACAAGCGGGAUCCCAGGACAGGUGCUGACGCUCUGCAAGGUCUGACACUUAGCAGGCCUCGGAGCACUCCGAACCCUGUGAAGGAUCCUGGGCUGGACGAGAGGAAGCGGCAUGAAGAGCAGCUGCAGGCGUUUGGACGGUCCAUGGUGGAGCUGCUCGGGGACCAGGAUGGGAGCAAGCUCUGCUGUCCUGCCUACACCAGGAAACCCUGCCUCUGCCUCCAGAAUUAUCUCAAAGCCCCAGGGCUGGGCGAGAGCGAGAACCGUACACGAGCCCUCGAGUUCUUGAAGUUGCUGGAGGAAUCCAAGCAACUGAAAGCCGUGAAGUUCUGCAGCGACGGGGCCAGCCAGAAAGCCAGGGAGCCCAGGAGGAGGAGAGCCUUCGGGCUGGGAAGCGGCCAGCGGAGGUCCCUAGCCUUCGAGGACUUUGUCCUGAAGAACCGGAGGGUGUUGCGUGAAGAGCUGAAACUAUGCGAGAGAGCCACGCAAAGGAUUCUGGGAUACUCCAACAACUUCCUGCAUAAGAAGCUCAAAACUAGCAGCCAGAAGCCCGCCAGAGCUGAGCGGAAGAAGGGGAAAGGAGCUCUGGGGCUCCUCAAGCCCAUUGCAGAAGUUGGCGAAAAGAAGUGCUGUGCGGACAACUGCACAGUGAUGGCCCACACCUACGGCCAGCUGCUGCAGCGCUGGAGGGAUCGAGCAUUAAUGGGCCAGUCAGAGGCCCGCCGAGUCCUAGCCGAAAUGCUAAUGCCCUCAGGGGGCUGUAGGCGUAACUGUUACCACUUCAUAUCCUGGGUGACCGGCUCCAGCCCGAGCACCGUUAGCAAGGUUAACGAGCAGAUGAAGAGGCUGGGGGGGAGAUAGGGAGCCCCCUCCGCACAAACUCAAGCAGUGGAGGAAGGAGAACCCCAAGCCGAACAAGAAGGGUUCUGAUGCUGGGGAGAGAGCGCAACCCAGUCAGGCACCAUCGCUGGCUUCCCCCUCCACAGCUGGUUCCCAGGAGCUGCCUUCAGCCUCGGUCCAUGGGCCAGCCUCAGCUGGCGAGCCACCCACCUCUGGAACUGGCGCUCUGGACCCCUGCCCCCCCGCCGCAGGCCAUGCUUGUCUCUAGCAUUGUCUCAACACCACCUGGCACUGUGGGGGAGAUGACAUCACCUUGUACCAGAAGGCCAGCUGACACGUUCUCUCCUGCACUGGCUGCUGCUCCAAAAGCUGCAUCAGCUUCUCUCGCCCUCUCGAGCCCCCUGCCGCACAGAGCCCAGACUGAGCAGCAGCAUCCACAGACACUUGGCUACCCGAGGGAUCCAGCCCACCCUGUGCAGCCUUCACCCCGGCCCAGUCUCUGCCUCGCUCUCAGCUUCUUGGUCCGGACUCCGGGAUGCGUCCAGCCCAUCAGCAGAUGCAGGGAGCAGAGGAACUAUGGAAAGGCCAAGAGCUGCAGCCUCCUUUGAUCCUGAUGGGGCAAGCAACGGCGCUGUUCCAGGAUCCAUUAACGCAGGGGGCCGGUUUCUUGGUGCUGUGAGGGGCCCGCUGCCCACCCAAGAACCGAGGCUCCCAUCCCAGCUGGCAGGAGGUGUCAAGACCCGACGGCCGGUAACAGCCUUUCUGAGCUUCCCCCUUCACCUCCCCUUAGCGUUUCUGGUGGACUUGCCCUUUACCCCACUGCUCACGCUCGUAGCCCGGCUCCAUGCUGCUAGCUCCAGGCUCUGACUGUUCUGCCCUUCGCUCAGCCCGAGGGGGCGCCACCUUCCCAGCCAGUCUGGGGGAAUGAGAGGCUGGGAGUCAGUCCUAGGGCUCCUGUCUGCUGGUGCAGAAUGCUAACCACAAAUCCCCUCCACUCCCUGGGCCAGCCCCGCUGCAGUCUGACUCUGUAGCAGGAGCCUGCGCAGGGUUAAGCAUUCGGUUCCCCCUUGGCCUGGCAAGAGAGGCUGCUGGUGUGAUGACAGUGCAGACAUGCAGCUGUCCCUCCUGCAGAAUCUCAAACCCCUUCUCCGCUGCCCACCAGAGGGCAAUGGAAAUGUCAGGCAUCUGACCCCACCUCCCCCGUUUCCAAAGGGCUGGGCAUUGCCUACAGCCUCGGCGUGCGCUGUUCCUCUCUGCUUGGAGAAUCCCAUCCUUCCGCGGUUCUCUUCUGCCUUGGUCCGUACCUGAGGGCUAGCUGUAAGGGCUGUCCCUAGCCUAAUUACCGCGCCUCUGCUUUGUGUCUCCGCAGCUUGCCCUCCCCAGCAGCCUCCAUCCUCCUCGUUAGCAGCGCACGGGGUUGCCCCAGUGCUCCUGGGGGCUGGAGCGUGGGUUGCAGAACGCAGUUUGCCAGCUCAGCUGCGGGGGCUGCUCUCAGCUCCACAGGCAAAUGCCGCCUGCUUCAUAGUGAAAGCUGAAGGACAGCACGCGUGUGGGGAGGCUAAGAUCACUGUUCACCUGGGCUGGCCACUGACUUUAUGCUGUCCUGGGUAGGGCCAACAACGUCCAGCCCUGACCGCACUGGCACGUAGGGGGUUCCCUGCUAUUCAGCAGUCCUCUGGUUAUUGAUAUGGUCUCACUACCAGCAAGCAAAUCCAGAGUGUCUGGCCCACAGAGGGGAGCGUCCAAUGGCUGACCUAAAGCUAGUGUGAAAAGGCAGCCGUGAAGAGUCAAACAGCCGUGCUGGGCCUGGGGAUCUGAGGCCACCCUUGCAAGUCCUGUCUCCCUGGAGAGGAUUCAAAGGCCAUCGCUUCAGGUAGGGGUCAGAAUUCUAACUGGCGCGGCUCUUGACUUCUGAAACCGAGUCCGCCGGCUGCAUGCCCAAAGGGAGAGAGGCCGGGGCCCUGGAGCAGGUGUGUGUGAAAGCAGUUCAAUGUAUGACCAACCUGGUACCUGGACAGGAGUGUGCACAGCUUGGGUGGGGACUUGGCUCUCGGUCCCUUAAGGGAGGACUGAAUUGCAUGGGGUGAGAGAGGCCUCCUUUGGGGGAGUGGGCUGUCCCAUUGCAGCUUGCGUCUCUGUGACUGCCCUGUAGGACAGACAGUUCAAGCACUUGUUUGGAGACAGAAACCAGUCAUGGGCCUGUCAUCAUUGGCUGGGAGAGCUAGUUACUGUUCCCCAAGAGCCCUGCAGCAGGGGCUGUUUGUUUGCAUUGACGGCCCAAUGCUUUGACUGAGACCCAGGAAGCUCCUAAACAUCUGCUUAAACUUUAGCAUGUGCACUUUCCCCAGGCAGGGCUUUGCUUGCACUGCUGGUGGAGUUCUCUGAAAAGACACAACACCCAAAGGCCUUGGUUCCUGCCUUCUCUCCUGGGCUGGGAGCCCUCAGCCCAGACAAGGGGCUGCUGUGUUCUAGUGAAGCAGCAGAAAGUUACUCUUGGCCUGGAAGUUUGGACCACAAAUGUUUAUUAAGCACAACCCCUCCCCCCCCCAAGCCCUCUGUAUUUCUAUAUAUUAAUUCAUUUGGCAGAUUAUUAUUUUUUAAGGAAAAAACAAGUACCUGGUGGGUUAAAAUUCCCUCUUAAAAUGACAUUAGCAAAUGCACAUGUAAAAAAUAAAUAAGCUCAUACAUUCAA